GGCCCAGUAGCAGAGUGGUUCUGCAUUUGCUUCUUUUCGGGUGUUCUACGUAUUCCAUAUGCAGAUGACGUUGGUUCGAAUCCGGCCUGGGCCC